ensembl:antisense Gm42670 predicted gene 42670
GAAGGGGCAAGGAGGCCAACAUCCCUAGCUGACAGGUGACAGCCGCCUGCUCCAGAACUGCCUGUUGUCGCCUUUUUUGAAACAAACUUGGAGCUCCUCUGGCCGCCACUCGGCUCCUCCCUAACCCCAGUCCGGCAGGCAGCGGCUUCUAGAACCCUCUAGCCCUCUCAAACACUUCCUGCUCCUCGCCAACUCCGGCUGAUGGAGCCGGGCGACCAGGCCGCUCACUUACCACAGCGCCCGCCCCUUGGGGGCCGUUCGGGGUCGUAUCCGCCAUGGGAGACACUCGGGAGCCCGGGACGCUGCAACAGCAAAGAAGAGCAAAACGUCAGUGCGGGGCGACGACCCUCCGACCUGCUUUCAGAGCCGGCAGGAACCCCAAACCCCCGGAGGAACGGGCCCUCCCGGACGCGUGCAGCACACAGCCGCAGAAGUCCCCCUAUGGCGGCCCGGUAAUACCUGCCCCGCUCGGUCCAGACCAAAGCUGCCUUUCUAGAAAGACCCAAGCGAAGGCGGAGCUUCGGAGAAAGGCCUUAAAGGGCCGAUCGACGCCGCCGGUUCCCGGGGUUGCAAAACCGGAAGUGAUCCUUUCGUUUCCACGUGAGUCAGGCGGGACGUUGAGAGUCACCGGGCGUGGUUUCCGGAGGCAUGACGGGAAAUGCAGUUUUUCUCCUUGUUUUGGUUCCACCUUCCCUACGAGCCAAUUGGCACGGAAAUGUUAAGUAAAACCACCGAGGCAACUUUCGUCUUAACCGGCACUCAGGCGAUUUUCCUCGCUGGCUUCCGAACCUCAAAAAUCUCUCUACUUCCAUAUACAGAAGCUUCAGAAAUAUCUAUGAUCUCUCCAGAUAGCGAUUCACCAAACCCUGUGAUUUAGUUUUCUUAUUUCAAGCACUAGUGAAACCGGCUAUGUGACAGACGCUUGGAGGAAAAAAAAAAAAAAAAAAAAGAACAUAACACUGACCUUCUCAGAGACAAUAGAGCAAAAACGACCACAAGCUGAGUUAAUCAGGGGUUCCUGGAAAAGUAAUUCUGGCCAUAAAUCUUGAAGGGAAAGGAAAAAUUGUAUAUGAAAAGGGAAGGAGGUUCCAAAUAAGAGAACAGAGCAGAUAAAGUAACAGAAUGAAUCAGGACAGUUCGGUGUGAACUGAAUGAAUGGGUCUGGGGGGAUGAAAGAUUUGAACUGCUGAGAGGCAGGGUGUGUGGCAAGAAAAACAUUACAUGAGGGCACGGGAGGGGUUGGAAGGAAAGGGGAGAAAUGAUGAAGUUAUAUUUUAAUUAAAAAUAUUUUUAAAGAC